AACGCUAGCUACAGGCUUAACACAUGCAAGUCGAGGGGCAGCAUGUUGGUUGCUUGCAACCAAUGAUGGCGACCGGCGCACGGGUGAGUAACGCGUAUCCAACCUUCCCCUUACUCGGGUCCAGCCCGUUGAAAGACGGAUUAAUCCCCGAUGCUCUCAUAUUUUGGCAUCAGUUUAUGAGCAAAGAUUUAUCGGUAAGGGAUGGGGAUGCGUAUGAUUAGCUUGUUGGUGUGGUAACGGCUCACCAAGGCUACGAUCAUUAGGGGUUCUGAGAGGAAGGUCCCCCACACUGGAACUGAGACACGGUCCAGACUCCUACGGGAGGCAGCAGUGAGGAAUAUUGGUCAAUGGAGGCAACUCUGAACCAGCCAAGUAGCGUGCAGGAUGACGGCCCUAUGGGUUGUAAACUGCUUUUAUGCGGGGAUAAACGAGCCUACGUGUAGGUUUUUGCAGGUACCGCAUGAAUAAGGACCGGCUAAUUCCGUGCCAGCAGCCGCGGUAAUACGGAAGGUCCGGGCGUUAUCCGGAUUUAUUGGGUUUAAAGGGAGCGUAGGCGGCCUGUUAAGCGUGUUGUGAAAUGUGGGUGCUCAACAUCUGCACUGCAGCGCGAACUGGCGGGCUUGAGUGGGCUGAAAGUAUGCGGAAUUCGUGGUGUAGCGGUGAAAUGCUUAGAUAUCACGAAGAACUCCGAUU
rnacentral:rRNA from 1 species